UAGUGGCGAACGGGUGAGUAACACGUGGGCAAUCUGCCCUUCACUCUGGGACAAGCCCUGGAAACGGGGUCUAAUACCGGAUAACACUCCUGCCUGCAUGGGCGGGGGUUAAAAGCUCCGGCGGUGAAGGAUGAGCCCGCGGCCUAUCAGCUUGUUGGUGGGGUAAUGGCCCACCAAGGCGACGACGGGUAGCCGGCCUGAGAGGGCGACCGGCCACACUGGGACUGAGACACGGCCCAGACUCCUACGGGAGGCAGCAGUGGGGAAUAUUGCACAAUGGGCGAAAGCCUGAUGCAGCGACGCCGCGUGAGGGAUGACGGCCUUCGGGUUGUAAACCUCUUUCAGCAGGGAAGAAGCGAAAGUGACGGUACCUGCAGAAGAAGCGCCGGCUAACUACGUGCCAGCAGCCGCGGUAAUACGUAGGGCGCAAGCGUUGUCCGGAAUUAUUGGGCGUAAAGAGCUCGUAGGCGGCUUGUCACGUCGGAUGU
rnacentral:rRNA from 1 species